rnacentral:rRNA from 1 species
AUUGAACGCUGGCGGCAGGCCUAACACAUGCAAGUCGAGCGGUAGCACAGAGAGCUUGCUCUCGGGUGACGAGCGGCGGACGGGUGGGUAAUGUCUGGGAAACUGCCUGAUGGAGGGGGAUAACUACUGGAAACGGUAGCUAAUACCGCAUAAUGUCGCAAGACCAAAGUGGGGGACCUUCGGGCCUCAUGCCAUCAGAUGUGCCCAGAUGGGGAUUAGCUAGUAGGUGGGGUAACGGCUCACCUAGGCGACUAUCCCUAGCCGGUCUGAGAGGAUGACCAGCCACACUGGAACUGAGACACGGUCCAGACUCCUACGAGAGGCAGCAGUGGGGAAUAUUGCACAAUGGGCGCAAGCCUGAUGCAGCCAUGCCGCGUGUGUGAAGAAGGCCUUCGGGUUGUAAAGCACUUUCAGCGGGGAGGAAGGCGUUAAGGUUAAUAACCUUGUCGAUUGACGUUACCCGCAGAAGAAGCACCGGCUAACUCCGUGCCAGCCGCCGCGGUAA